rnacentral:rRNA from 1 species
GUCGAGGGGUAUAGUUCUUCGGAAUUAGAGACCGGCGCACGGGUGCGUAACGCGUAUGCAAUCUACCUUUCACAGAGGGAUAGCCCAGAGAAAUUUGGAUUAAUACCUCAUAGUAUAACGACUCUGCAUGGAGAUGUUAUUAAAGUCACAACGGUGAAAGAUGAGCAUGCGUCCCAUUAGCUAGUUGGUAAGGUAACGGCUUACCAAGGCUACGAUGGGUAGGGGUCCUGAGAGGGAGAUCCCCCACACUGGUACUGAGACACGGACCAGACUCCUACGGGAGGCAGCAGUGAGGAAUAUUGGACAAUGGGCGCAAGCCUGAUCCAGCCAUGCCGCGUGCAGGAUGACGGUCCUAUGGAUUGUAAACUGCUUUUGCACAGGAAGAAACAACUCUACGUGUAGAGUCUUGACGGUACUGUGAGAAUAAGGAUCGGCUAACUCCGUGCCAGCAGCCGCGGUAAUACGGAGGAUCCAAGCGUUAUCCGGAAUCAUUGGGUUUAAAGGGUCCGUAAGCGGUUUAGUAAGUCAGUGGUGAAAGCCCAUC